UACGAAGGGUGCAAACGUUGCUCGGAAUUAUUGGGCGUAAAGGGUGCGUAGGCGGCGCGGUAAGUCGGAUGUGAAAUCUCGGGGCUUAACUCCGAAACUGCAUUCGAUACUACCGUGCUUGAGGACUGGAGAGGAGACUGGAAUUUACGGUGUAGCGGUGAAAUGCGUAGAUAUCGUAAGGAAGACCAGUGGCGAAGGCGGGUCUCUGGACAGUUCCUGACGCUGAGGCACGAAGGCCAGGGGAGCAAACGGG
rnacentral:rRNA from 1 species